UACGUAGGGGGCGAGCGUUGUCCGGAAUUACUGGGCGUAAAGGGCGUCUAGGCGGUACGAUGCGUCGGGAGUGAAAGCCCCGGGCUCAACCCGGGAACGGCUUUCGAAACGGUCGUGCUUGAGGGCCGGAGAGGGAAGCGGAAUUGCCGGUGUAGCGGUGAAAUGCGUAGAGAUCGGCAGGAACACCAGUGGCGAAGGCGGCUUCCUGGACGGUACCUGACGCUGAAGCGCGAAAGCGUGGGGAGCGAACGGG
rnacentral:rRNA from 1 species